CACACACACACAGGGGAUCUGGAGUCAUCCCGAUCUGUCCCACAAUGCACUGCUUCAGCUGAGACCGUGAUGGAGGGCAGACUGAGAGACCUGCUGCUGGACAUCGAGGACCGGAUACACCAGGGAACUCUGGGAACUCUGAAGGUGAUGGACAGACAGCUGUGGCGCUCGGCGCUGGAAGCAGGAAACUACGAGCUGCUGGAUUCUGACGGAGGAGUGGACGCCAUGGAGGACUCACCUGGUCAGCUGAGAACCAGAGACAGG